CGAACGGCUCCGUAUAUCUGUUGUCACCUAUCGUGGUAAAUAUGGCGUGGAUAGAGCACGGAAAAGCUGUGUAUAACACAGACAAGUGGGGCCUUCCCCGCCCGUUAGCAUGGGCGGGGGGAUAAGCGGGCCCAUAACUAUGGGCCCCGCCUCAUUAACGGCUCUUAAAGUACCUUGGAAACUAAAAAGCUCCAGGCGAAACAGAGGCCUCUGCUGCCUGGCAAUUAUCGACUACGGUCGGGCACGUCGGGCAUGCGGCAGAGCCUAUCCACAAGCGCACGAUGGACUUCAGACCUAUCAGCUAGACGGUAGGGUAUUGGCCUACCGUGGCGAUGACGGGUACAGAGGAUUAGGGUUUGAUCCUGGAGAGGUAGCCUGAGAAAUCGCUCCCACUUCUAAGGAAGGCAGCAGGCGCGUAACGUUCCCAAUGCUAGGACCCCUAGUGAGGACGUAAUGGGACAUAACAAUACCCCUAUUCGAUAGUGGGUAAUUGACAAUGGGGCGGGCUUAAACACCCUGCCGAGAAGCAACUGGAGGACAAGUCUG
rnacentral:rRNA from 1 species